UUUGACAUUGAGUUCUAGAUUAGACUGCUGCAAUGUUCUAUGUUCUGGUUUACCAUAGUCUAGCAUUAGGGGUCUUCUAGAUUAGACUGCUGCAAUGUUCUAUGUUCUGGUUUACCAUAGUCUAGCAUUAGGGGUUUUCAACUGGUUCAAAAUGCUGUUGCCAGAUUCUUGACAGGAAGCAGAAAGUUCGACCACA